rnacentral:rRNA from 1 species
UGGGGAAUAUUGGACAAUGGGCGAAAGCCUGAUCCAGCCAUGCCGCGUGUGUGAAGAAGGUCUUCGGAUUGUAAAGCACUUUAAGUUGGGAGGAAGGGCAUUAACCUAAUACGUUAGUGUUUUGACGUUACCGACAGAAUAAGCACCGGCUAACUCUGUGCCAGCAGCCGCGGUAAUCCAGAGGGUGCAAGCGUUAAUCGGAAUUACUGGGCGUAAAGCGCGCGUAGGUGGUUUGUUAAGUUGGAUGUGAAAUCCCCGGGCUCCACCUGGGAACUGCAUUCAAAACUGACUGACUAGAGUAUGGUAGAGGGUGGUGGAAUUUCCUGUGUAGCGGUGAAAUGCGUAGAUAUAGGAAGGAACACCAGUGGCGAAGGCGACCACCUGGACUAAUACUGACACUGAGGUGCGAAAGCGUGGGGAGCAAACA